AUCUAUACGCUUUUACUUUAAGCAAAUCGCAAUGUGAGAUAAAGCAAGUGAAAAGGCAUCAGCUAUUUUAAUGUGAUAUGAGAAUUUAGACUUCUAAAAUUAGAAGGUUCAUGUGCUAUUUACGAACAGAUUCCAAUUUCAUUCCCACAUUCCUUUGUAUAUGGAAUGUGCAAUAAAUAGUUUUGCUCAUUCCCCUGGAAGGAAAACAACUGAAAUUGAAUUCUUCUUGAAAGUUAGAACAAGAAAAACAAAUAAAAAACCACCGAUAUGAUAACAUAAUCAUUAUAUAUUGCCACAUGGUAUUCUUAUUUUUCCCCUUGUUCUUUAUUUCUUAAAGUAUCCACUUCGUUUAUUGGAAGUGAGGGAAUUUGAGAGUGCUUGGAACUACAAUUUGAAUUAAUUCCUGGUCAAAUCACAAGCAGUAAGCUCAGUAGAACUUAAAAUUGGUAGAAUGAUUCUCAUAUCAAGAUAUAAUUUCUUAAACCUAUGUUUAAAAUAACAAUUUCCUAAUGCAGACAAUAGUUAAUACAGAAAAAUGAUUGGAAGUAACAGAUGUGAAUUCAAAUAAAUCAAGAUCAAACAUAGAAAGACACAAAUGGUAGAAGCAUACAAUACUAAAGAGAUCUUUAAGAGAGGCACGAAUAGGAUUUUAGCAAACUGCAAAAAAAAAAAAUAGCUACAAGAGGGGGAGUGUUUCAGAUAAAAUCGAGGUGAUGUCAGUGAAUAUGUGGUCUAUAGUAGCCAUCAAAGGUCUAAAAGGACUGUGUGGUGAAGGGUGUCGAAAGUGGAAACUGACUUCUAAGAAAUUUUAUUUUCUAGUUCUCUGAACUCUGAACAUCUGAAAACCAGCAGGAAUGGGAAAGAAAAAUUUCACAAUGAGGAGAUUCAGAGUCACCGGUUAAACACGUGGUUCCAACACUGUGUGCCGAGGCACCCAUCAGGAGGUUCCCAAGGGUUUGGGAGGAUAUUUAAUGUCCUUGAGGAGAAUACAGUGAUACCUAUCAGACCCUGCAUGAACUACUAGCCUGAGCCACUUCCCAUUUUCAGCGUAAUAGAUUGAGCUGUCUUCCUUUAUGUGAUAUCGCAUCUCUGAAAAGCUGAGUUUUGGUGAUCACUGUGGCAAAGAAAAUAAUUUUGGACCAGUAGAAGAGAGCGGCGAGGUAUUUUUUUAAGGUCUCAAAAUGAGGAUACUGUCUUGCACAUGCAAGAUCAUCCUAAAGAAUCCUGAUGCUGUUCUCACCUUCACACUCAUUCAUGGCCUGCAAAGUGGCGUACUUUUGCAUCCAGCUGUAGGCCUCCUAGGAGCUGUUUCCAACUGCUGGGAAACACUCAUGGAUUUUAUUUAUUUAUUUAUUUGAGAGAGAGAGAGAGAGAAACAGCAUGAGAGGGGAUAGGGUCAGAGGGAGAAGCAGGCUCCCUGCCGAGCCGGGAGCCCGAUGCGGGACUCGAUCCCAGGACUCCGGGAUCAUGACCUGAGCCGAAGGCAGUCGCUUAACCAACUGAGCCACCCAGGCGCCCUACUUCGGAAUUUUAAACAAAAGUUUCCAGUCACUUCUAAUCAACUUGCGUUAUAAUAUAAAGGCAAAUCAGCACUCCACAAAAUGAAGGAUACUGGGAAGUUAGCUUCAAGAUAAAUCUGUGGGAAGAUGCCUGAGAACAAUCAGUGAAUAUUAACUUUCUCCUGUGGACAUUCUGCUGGAGUGAUGUUCACACCAUGACUUCUCCUGUUCAGCUGUGUUCUCUCUAUUCUUUUCGCUUUCUUCAAUCCCUUUGCCUAAUAGUAUUUCUGCUUUCAUUUCCCGCGUCUGCCUGCCACAUUUCCAACUGUCCAAAUGCCUUUACUUGGUCCAUUUCUAGGGUUAUCAUUUCUCUUGAUUUCUAAGCUUUCCUUAUAUAUUUUACUAUGUCCAAUAUCCUCAUCUUGCCUGUUGCUCUCCACAUUUAUUUAUUUAUUUUAAAGAUUUUAUUUAUUUAUUUGACACAGAGAGAGAGAGCACAAGCAGAGGGAGAGGCAGGUUCCCCGCUGAGGAAGGAGCCCGAUGUGGGGCCCGAUCCCAGGAUCCUGGGAUCAUGACGUGAGUCGAAGGCAGAAGCUUAACCGACUGAGCCACCCAGACGCCCCUGCUCUCCACAUUUCUAACUGCAUUUUCGGGGGCCAGCUGACCCACGGUUCUCUGACGUCUCUGCUAAGGGGCAGCCACAGAAUCAUGGACAAAGACAAGUGACCAUGUCUCCACACUUGAUCUAGGGAUUAGAUAUAUUGGUUCUCACCAAUGAUUGUUAGUCCUCCCUUGGGGCAUUUUGCUAACAACAAGAGACAGCAAAAAGGCAAGCAGCUUGAUGUGAGAAAAUAUCUGGGACUACCCUUUCUACUUUGCCAUGGAGUAACUGCCUAAAACAACUUUCCAGACAUCACCUGUGGAUAGGAAAGAGUAUUUUUAGAACACAGGUUACAGAAUUUCUGUGAGAGAGUUGUUUUACAGAAUUACUUGGUAGAGAAUAUAACAAUUACGGGGGGGAAAGCUGAAAAUAUAAGUUCAAAGAUUUCUACUGUGGAAAAAAAUUCAUAUGUACCUAACAUGUGUCACAAACACUGUACAGUUAAUCUGUAUGUAAUACAGAGUUCAGAGACCUCAAUGUUGUUAAAGCUAGUUGGAGAUACUGUUCUCAUUCUAAAAAUAUAAUGCUUACCUCUUUAUGUGUAUCGUGUCUAGAUUAAUUAAGCUGAUCUCCUAUGAAGUUUGCCACUCUAUCUGCUAACACUGUUAACAUAACAUGUU